UGGCGCGGGGCGGGUGCGGCUGCGGGUGGGCGUGCGUGGCCUGAGUCUCUGUACCAGAUGUGCUAAAAUACCUGGUAGCGUAGGCCAAAAGGUAGUAACUAAGUGUACUGAUUGAGAUUUUAAUAUCACAGAAUCACAGAAUCAGAGAACUGUAGGGUUGCAAGGGACAGCUGGAGAUCAUCAGGUCCAACCCUCUGCGAAAGCAGUUCCCCGCAGUGGAUUGCACAGGAAGGCAUUCAGGUGUAUACUGGAUAUCUACGGGGAAGGAGACUCCACAAGCUCUCUAACCAGCAUCUUCCAGUGCUCUGUCACCUUCAAAAUAAAGGCGUUUUUUUUUCAUGUCUAUACACAA